AGAGUUUGAUCCUGGCUCAGAUUGAACGCUGGCGGCAGGCCUAACACAUGCAAGUCGAACGGUAACAUUUCUAGCUUGCUAGAAGAUGACGAGUGGCGGACGGGUGAGUAAUGCUUGGGAACUUGCCUUUGCGAGGGGGAUAACAGUUGGAAACGACUGCUAAUACCGCAUAAUGUCUACGGACCAAACGGGGCUUAGGCUCCGGCGCAAAGAGAGGCCCAAGUGAGAUUAGCUAGUUGGUAAGGUAAUGGCUUACCAAGGCAACGAUCUCUAGCUGUUCUGAGAGGAAGAUCAGCCACACUGGAACUGAGACACGGUCCAGACUCCUACGGGAGGCAGCAGUGGGGAAUAUUGCACAAUGGGGGAAACCCUGAUGCAGCCAUGCCGCGUGUGUGAAGAAGGCCUUCGGGUUGUAAAGCACUUUCAGUUGUGAGGAAAAGUUAGUAGUUAAUACCUGCUAGCCGUGACGUUAACAACAGAAGAAGCACCGGCUAACUCCGUGCCAGCAGCCGCGGUAAUACGGAGGGUGCGAGCGUUAAUCGGAAUUACUGGGCGUAAAGCGCACGCAGGCGGUUUGUUAAGCUAGAUGUGAAAGCCCCGGGCUCAACCUGGGAUAGUCAUUUAGAACUGGCAGACUAGAGUCUUGGAGAGGGGAGUGGAAUUCCAGGUGUAGCGGUGAAAUGCGUAGAUAUCUGGAGGAACAUCAGUGGC
rnacentral:rRNA from 1 species